rnacentral:rRNA from 1 species
CACAUCAGCUCGAGUGAGAAUACGCGCUAAACUUAAGCAUAUCAGUCAGCGCACGUAAUAAUAGAGACUAACCAGGAUUCCCUUAGUAACGGCGAGUGAACUGGGAUACCAAUAUUAAAAUAUGCACUCUGUCGAUAAUUUAGCCCGUCGAUACUAUCCUAGCAUAUUACCUGCUUCGGCAAGUAACAAAUAUGCGGGAAUUGUAGCAUCGUAAUAACAAAAAAAUAUAUUGCACACACACACACAUAUACACAUAUUGUACUGGCACCUUGUAAACACACAGCGUCUCCGCGUUGGAAAGCAAGUAUAUAUCCUCUUUGGAUAUGCCAUAGAGUGUGACAGCCACGUUUGAAUCACUCGAUCAGUACAACACCCACUGCUGUGCGCACAAAAAUAUAUUUAUAUAACCUGAGUCGAGUUAUUUGGGACUAUAGCUCUAAUAGUUUGGUUGGUGGUAAUGACACAUCAAAGGCUAAAUAUUGGUUAGUCGAUGCAUAUUACGGAGACCGAUAGCAUACAAGUACCGUAAGGGAACCGAUGAAAGCACCCUAUUGAGUUCACGCGCAGACUGCUUUGCCCAUCCUUCGGGUGAGCGCUGCACGUCAACGCCUAACAACUACAGUGGGAGUGAAAGAGAGAGUGAAUCGCCUAUACAUAAAAAAAUAUACUCUCGCAGUAUAUCAUACACACAUAUAACAAGUCUGCGUUAGUACAAUCGGACAGAGUGUCGUAUAAAUUUAUAGCCGCCUAAUAUAUACACCAAUAUAUGUAUAUUAUGGUUUGGCUCAUAGCGAUCUCGUAUCGCUAUACGCGACACAACUGUACGACCCGUUUUGAAACACGGACCAAGGAGUUCAACUGGAUUACGAGUCGUAGAGAGUACACACCUCACACAUACUUAUUCUCACACGGCAUAGCGAAAGCAACUUAAUCCUUUACUGUGCUAGGUCGGCCAUAACAAGUCGACCGCAGCACGCACUGAGUGUGUAUAUACGUGGGGGCUUUAAGUCAUACGCGUAUACCUGUUCAUUCCUCUCGGGGGCAUAAACAGGAUCACUCAAGCGUUCAACGAGUAUAUCUUGUUGAGACCCGAAAGAUGGUGAACUAUGCUCGGAUAUGGCGAAGUCAGGUGAAAACUUGAUGGAAGCUUGCGUUGUGCGGAACUGACGUGCAAAUCGUUACCGCCUAACCUGAGUAUAGGGGCGAAAGACUCAUCGAACCAUCUAGUAGCUGGUUCCCUCCGAAGUUUCCCUCAGGAUAGC